rnacentral:rRNA from 1 species
UGCGCAGGCGGCCAUGUGUGUCAGGUGUGAAAUACCGGGGCUUAACCCCGGAACUGCGCCUGAAACUACAUGGCUAGAGUACUGGAGAGGGUAGUGGAAUUCACGGUGUAGCAGUGAAAUGCGUAGGUAUCGUGAGGAACACCAGAGGCGAAGGCGACUACCUGGACAGUUACUGACGCUCAGGCACGAAAGCGUGGGGAGCCAAAGGGAUUAGAUACCCCUGUAGUCCACGCCCUAAACGGUGCACACUAGGUCUUGGCGGAUUCGACCCCGCCAGGGCCCAAGCUAACGCGUUAAGUGUGCCGCCUGAGGACUACGGCCGCAAGGCUAA